AUGAACGCUAGCGACAGGCCUAACACAUGCAAGUCGAGGGGCAGCACAAGGAGCAAUCUGAGGUGGCGACCGGCGCACGGGUGAGUAACACGUAUGCAACCUGCUUGUAAGCGGGGAAUAACCCGUUGAAAGACGGACUAAUACCGCAUAAUACUAAAUUACUGCAUGGUAAUUUAUUUAAACAUUUAUGGCUUACAGAUGGGCAUGCGCAUGAUUAGCUAGUUGGAGAGGUAACGGCUCCCCAAGGCAACGAUCAUUAGGGGUUCUGAGAGGAAGGUCCCCCACACUGGUACUGAGACACGGACCAGACUCCUACGGGAGGCAGCAGUGAGGAAUAUUGGUCAAUGGACGAGAGUCUGAACCAGCCAAGUCGCGUGCAGGAAGAAUGUCCUUAAUGGAUUGUAAACUGCUUUUGCAGGGGAAUAAAGUGCAUCACGUGUGAUGUUUUGUAUGUACUCUGCGAAUAAGGAUCGGCUAACUCCGUGCCAGCAGCGGC
rnacentral:rRNA from 1 species